CAGAGGGAGUGCUGUUGCACCAAGUUCUUUGUGUGUGGAAUGGGAAGGUGGCUUAAACUCUUAUUCCAGGAGGCAGGUGCACUGAAAGCCUGGAGUUACAUCUGGACAUGGAGCAGAGAGUGCACCACUGUAUCAAGGAUCUGUGCACAGGAAGGAAGGGGCACCUCAGGCUCCUAAUCUAGCCUUUCCCCAGGUUAUCUCCCGGAGUUUGAGAGAAACAAGUUAUUCUCCCUUGGCCUGGAUUGCUCGGAUCCCUAGUGGAAAGGUUUUUACUGCUUUAUCACCACAGCUGGACACAACUGGCUUCAUACUGCCUUCUGGCAACUGCAGGAUGUCUGAACUGUCUUGAACCUAUUUCCUUACCUUUUAAAAUGGUAAAAUUUUGUGGAUACAGUAUUGGGUACUUACAGACCUUCUUCACCUCUGAAAAGUUACCAUCUCUUAACCUCAUUAAUCACUAGAACAGGUUUUUGAUUUAAAGCAGAACUCUCUCUUUUUCUUCCAAAUUCAGGAGUUAGUGAAAUAGGAAUGAACUGCCAGUCACUCAGCCUUCUAGACUUUAUUUGCAUUUCAUUGGAAAGUUUAAAGUGCAUAGGCGUAUAAACACUUUUCUGGUUUGAGGAUCCAAAUCCUUCAAAUUUCCCAAGUUGUCCAACCACAAAAAAAUUAAGCACCAAAUGCUCCAGUCUAGACCAGGGGACCUCAGCCAUUUUCUUAUCCCAGCAUGCUAAGCUGUUUGACACAUUUUUAUCAGGAACAGCAAUCCUCAAAACUGAGGAGCUAUUAUCAGAAUCACUGGGGCAGGAAGCUUCCCUUUGCCUGUUGAGAAUUUCUAAAGUCUUCAAAUUCAUUUAUUCCUGGGUUCUUCUCUAACAACACUUCCAACAUUAGCAAAGUACUAUCAGAAUCAAUAGUAUCUGAAGGUUUGAAAAUUUUGCCAGGUUACUUAAAAACCCUCAUUGCCAAGUAAAUUUUUGUAACUGAACUUGAUGAUCUGUCCACAGCCCAUCAUGAAAUCAAUACAGUUCAAUAGGUGAAAAUUAAAC